UAGGGAAUAUUGCAAAAUGGGCGAAAGCCCGAUGCAGCAACGCCGCGUGGGCGAUGAAGGCCUUCGGGUCGUAAAGCCCUUUUUGAGGGGAUAAGGAAGGACAGUACCCUCAGAAUAAGCCUCGGCUAACUACGUGCCAGCAGCCGCGGUAAAACGUAGGAGGCGAGCGUUAUCCGGAUUUACUGGGCGUAAAGAGCGUGCAGGCGGAUUGGAGAGUUGGAUGUGAAAGCUCCCGGCUUAACUGGGAGAGGUCGUUCAAUACUUCCAGUCUUGAGUGCAGUAGAGGGAAGUGGAAUUCCGGGUGUAGUGGUGAAAUGCGUAGAUAUCCGGAGGAACACCAGUGGCGAAAGCGGCUUCCUGGACUGUAACUGACGCUCAGACGCGAAAGCUAGGGUAGCAAACG
rnacentral:rRNA from 1 species